rnacentral:pre_miRNA from 1 species
UCUUCAUUUCGCGUGCUCUCUCACCGGUCAGAGUGACGAGAGAGUGUGUGAAAUGAAGAGA